rnacentral:rRNA from 1 species
AAUUUUGUACAAUGGGGGAAACCCUGAUCCAGCCAUCCCGUUUGUAUGAAGAAGUCCUUCGGGUUGUAACGUAUGUUUGGGAGAGAAGAAAAGUUAUUCACUAAUACGUGAUACUACCUACGGCAUCUGUAGAAUAAGCACCGUACAACUAUUACCCAGCAGCCGCGGUAAUACGUAGGGUGCAACCGUUAAUCGGAAUUACUGGGCGUAAAGCGUGCGCAGGCGGUUCGGCAAGAAGGAUGUGAAAUCCCAGGGCUUAACCUUGGAACUGCAUUCUUAACUCCCGGGCUAGAGUAUGUCCGAGGGGGGUAGAAUUCCGCGUGUAGCAGUGAAAUGCGUAGAGAUGCGGAGGAAUACCGAUGGCGAAGGCAGCACCCUAGGAUAAUACUGACGCACAGACACGAAAGCGUGGGGAGCAAACAGG